UACGUAUGGUGCAAGCGUUAUCCGGAUUUACUGGGUGUAAAGGGAGCGCAGGCGGCACGGCAAGCCUGAUGUGAAAGCCCGCGGCCCAACCGCGGGACUGCAUUGGGAACUACCGGGCUGGAGUGCCGGAGAGGUAGGCGGAAUUCCUAGUGUAGCGGUGAAAUGCGUAGAUAUUAGGAGGAACACCAGUGGCGAAGGCGGCCUACUGGACAGUGACUGACGCUGAGGCUCGAAAGCGUGGGGAGCAAACAGG
rnacentral:rRNA from 1 species